UUCAGUAAACCAGAACGUCUAUCAACUUGUUUCUCGAUUUCUUGUAUCUGCUUGUUAAAGCUGUCGAUUCCAGAAUCUGACUGGCUCCUCGUAAAUCGGUUUCCCAUCUCGAUAUCGGAUUCUUUGGAAGCAUUAUCUUUGCCAGCAAUAAAACUUGAAUCCGCUAGAAGAUCAUUCAUAUUUUCCAAAAAUUAGUGAAAGAAAGAG
rnacentral:misc_RNA from 1 species